rnacentral:rRNA from 1 species
AUUGAACGCUGGCGGCAUGCCUUACACAUGCAAGUCGAACGGUAACAGGUCCUUCGGAUGCUGACGAGUGGCGAACGGGUGAGUAAUACAUCGGAACGUGCCUAGUAGUGGGGGAUAACUACUCGAAAGAGUGGCUAAUACCGCAUGAGAUCUACGGAUGAAAGCAGGGGAUCGCAAGACCUUGUGCUCCUAGAGCGGCCGAUGGCAGAUUAGGUAGUUGGUGGGAUAAAAGCUUACCAAGCCGACGAUCUGUAGCUGGUCUGAGAGGACGAUCAGCCACACUGGGACUGAGACACGGCCCAGACUCCUACGGGAGGCAGCAGUGGGGAAUUUUGGACAAUGGGCGCAAGCCUGAUCCAGCAAUGCCGCGUGCAGGAUGAAGGCCUUCGGGUUGUAAACUGCUUUUGUACGGAACGAAAAGCCCUGGGUUAAUACCCUGGGGUCAUGACGGUACCGUAAGAAUAAGCACCGGCUAACUACGUGCCAGCAGCCGCAGUAAUAC